GAAUCCCGUCUUUGACACGGACUGCCUGCAUGUUAUGGUGCGCUCUCAAAGAGUCGAGUUGUUUGGGAAUGCAGCUCAAAAUGGGUGGUAAAUGCCAUCUAAAGCUAAAUAUUGGCGAGAGACCGAUAGCGAACAAGUACCGUGAGGGAAAGAUGAAAAGAACUUUGGAAAGAGAGUUAAACAGUACGUGAAAUUGCUGAAAGGGAAACGCUUGAAGUCAGUCGCGUCGGCUAGAAAUCAACCUUGCUUUUGCUUGGUGUACUUUCUUGUUGAUGGGUCAGCAUCAAUUUUGACCGUUGGAUAAAGUCGUUGGGAAUGUGGCAUCUUAGGAUGUGUUAUAGCCCAUCGUCGCAUACAGCGGUUGGGAUUGAGGAACUCAGCACACCCUUCUGGGGACGGGUUUCGACCACGUUUCGUGCUUAGGAUGCUGGCAUAAUGGCUUUAAUCGACCCGUCUUGAAACACGGACCAAGGAGUCUAACAUGCCUGCGAGUGUUUGGGUGGAAAACCCAUGCGCGCAAUGAAAGUGAAAGUUGAGAUCCCCUCAAGGGGAGCAUCGACGCCCGGACCAGAGCUUCUGUGACGGAUCCGCGGUAGAGCAUGUAUGUUGGGACCCGAAAGAUGGUGAACUAUGCCUGAAUAGGGUGAAGCCAGAGGAAACUCUGGUGGAGGCUCGUAGCGAUUCUGACGUGCAAAUCGAUCGUCAAAUUUGGGUAUAGGGGCGAAAGACUAAUCGAACCAUCUAGUAGCUGGUUCCUGCC
rnacentral:rRNA from 1 species